CUGGUCUGCCUAGCGCUGCCUGCCUUGUGUUAGUUUGAGAAUUCCAUUCCGUUGAUCAAGGAUAGAAGAAUAUUUAUUGAUGGUAGAGAGGACAUGAGGAGGACUGGUUUGCUUUCGCUGUGCUGUUGAUGGUACCCCAAAUGGCGUUACCUGGUCUGUUCGCUUCAGCUUAAGCUGGCUGAAAAGCUGAAAUGGCUGAUUUGUUGUGAGAGAAAAACACUGUUUGGUGGCUGAUAAGCCGGUUGAAUAAGCUGAAGCGAACAGACCUACUAUUGCUACAUGUCUUUUUUCUUUUGGAAAAUAAAUGAAAUGACUGGAACGUUUUUUGAAGCUUUCGCUCGAGUGCCCACCUGAGUCAGAUGGUUUCGGCGGGCGGUGAGGAAUGACUAGGAUGAGAUGCAAAAGCUCCCCUAUCAUGCGUGGAAAGUCCCAAGUACUUGAAAGGCAGAUUCGUCGCGUGUACAUAGACAGUUUCCAUUUUUUU
rnacentral:lncRNA from 1 species